ACACAUGCAGUCGAGCGAAGACUUCGGUCUUAGCGGCGGACGGGUGAGUAACGCGUGGGAACGUGCCCUUCACUACGGAAUAGUCCCGGGAAACUGGGUUUAAUACCGUAUACGCCCUUCGGGGGAAAGAUUUAUCGGUGAAGGAUCGGCCCGCGUCUGAUUAGAUAGUUGGUGGGGUAACGGCCUACCAAGUCGACGAUCAGUAGCUGGUUUUAGAGGAUGAUCAGCCACACUGGGACUGAGACACGGCCCAGACUCCUACGGGAGGCAGCAGUGGGGAAUCUUAGACAAUGGGCGCAAGCCUGAUCUAGCCAUGCCGCGUGAGUGAUGAAGGCCUUAGGGUCGUAAAGCUCUUUCGCCAGGGAUGAUAAUGACAGUACCUGGUAAAGAAACCCCGGCUAACUCCGUGCCAGCAGCCGCGGUAAUACGGAGGGGGUUAGCGUUGUUCGGAAUUACUGGGCGUAAAGCGCGCGUAGGCGGACUAUUAAGUCAGGGGUGAAAUCCCGGGGCUCAACCCCGGAACUGCCCUUGAUACUGGUAGUCUUGAGUUCGAGAGAGGUGAGUGGAAUUCCGAGUGUAGAGGUGAAAUUCGUAGAUAUUCGGAGGAACACCAGUGGCGAAGGCGGCUCACUGGCUCGAUACUGACGCUGAGGUGCGAAAGUGUGGGGAGCAAACAGGAUUAGAUACCCUGGUAGUCCACACCGUAAACGAUGAAUGCCAGUCGUCGGGUAGCAUGCUAUUCGGUGACACACCUAACGGAUUAAGCAUUCCGCCUGGGGAGUACGGUCGCAAGAUUAAAA
rnacentral:rRNA from 1 species